rnacentral:rRNA from 1 species
CAAGUCGAACGAGGCGGAGGGGGGCAACUCCCUCCAGUCGAGUGGCGGACGGGUGAGUAACACGUGGGUAACCUGCCCGGAAGUGGGGAAUACCUCGGGGAAACUCGAGCUAAUACCGCAUGACAUCUUCGGAACGGAAGUUCUGACGAUCAAAGCGGGGUCGCAAGAUCUCGCGCUACCGGAUGGGCCCGCGCCCGAUUAGCUAGUUGGUGAGGUAACGGCUCACCAAGGCUUCGAUCGGUAACCGGCCUGAGAGGGCGAUCGGUCACACCGGAACUGAGACACGGUCCGGACUCCUACGGGAGGCAGCAGUGGGGAAUCUUGCGCAAUGGGCGAAAGCCUGACGCAGCAACGCCGCGUGGAGGAUGAAGGCCUUUGGGUUGUAAACUCCUGUCGGCUGGGAAGAAAUCGUACGGUGCUCAUACCACCGUGCGUUGACUGUACCAGCAAAGGAAGCCCCGGCUAACUCUGUGCCAGCAGCCGCGGUAAUACAGAGGGGGCCAGCGUUAUUCGGAAUUAUUGGGCGUAAAGGGCGCGUANGCGGCUUUGCGUGUCUUUCGUGAAAUCCCUCGGCUCAACUGANGACGUGCGGAANAAACUGCANGGCUGGAGUCCGGGANANGGGGGUGNAAUUCCCAGUGUAGCGGUGAAAUG